GGGGCUGAACUGGAUUUGACAGCGUUGCAAAGUGGUGCGUAAGCAUGCGGAGCGUCGGUAUGCCGGCUCCAUAAUCUCGGGUACUAACCUUUUAACUGGCAACAACUCUUACGCUCUCGCAGCCUAAUCGAAGCAUAGUAGAUAGGCUUCAUCCUUUUCAUAGUGAAGAGGACGAGACGUCUCCCAGAUGCCCACUCCUUGAGGCGGUCUGAUUCGGAGGCGCAGAAAAAUCAGGGAUGGUCUGCGGGGUGCUCCUCUCCAAGGACGAGAUUUUAAAGAGCUAAGGUGCGGCGUUGGGUGCCUUCCUCCAAGCCAAACUCGAAAACCCGAAGGACGGAUAAGCAUGUAGAAAGCGCAUGACUUCAAUGUUUGGACUGGGGUUCGAUCCCCCACAGCUCCACA
rnacentral:tmRNA from 1 species